GUCAACACGGCUCCUUAGAAAAAAUGCAUUGCAAUGCGUCAUAAUUAUCUGGACUACUAUAAGUACUUCCAUCAUUCCAUAUAACCUCGAAAACAGACAAUAAUUUAUUUCACUGGAUGAGACUGGGCUGACGGAUUUUUUAAUGGAUUGGUAAUUUUUAUUUUUUUACACAAGUUUACAAGGCAAGAUUCUUCACCUUUUUCACCCUACAAAUCAAAUGGUUGCCUUACACAUUGUAACACCUACACGACCUAAAACAUAUUCAUAUGAAUAUUUGGUAUCAUUCAUUUUCUGUGACAACUCUUCACCAGUGACCUGAGUGUAAGGAUGACAGUGGCGAAUCCAGAACUUUUCAUUUUUUUUUUGGGGGGGGGAUGCUUGCUCCAGUCAUGCUUCAGUGAUUUCCUAUAUAAUCAUAAUUAUCAACAAAUUUUUCACACGAAAAAAGGGGGGGGGGGUUUCCCCUUAAUUAGAAAUCUCUAUUUUCAGGCAUCAUGGGCAUAGGCUCAUGUAAAUUUGCCUGACAGUUGAAGAAUUGAGAUAAAUAUUAGAUGGCUAAUGAGUUUUCAGCUGCUUUACAUUAAAAUGCAUCAUGUACAUACAUGUGAUAUACACAAUUAUAUAUAGAGCCAUUUAAAAAGCUAUUUUUUGCAAUACUUAAAUAAUGUAGGAUCAAAUCUUGAUACAUGUACCUGUAGUUGAAAUUGUUAGCUUUAAACAUUGAAAAAUGAACACCCAAAGUUUAAAAAUAAGAAUGACCAUAUAGUCUUUAAAUAUAUAUAAUGUAUAUGCUAUUGUCAUGAAACUAGGUCAUUGUAGGUAAACGGUCAUCUGUUCCCUUAAAUCUGAGUUCACGCCAAUUAUUAAUUAAUUAAAAUUAGAAUUAAAUCUAGUCGAGUAUAUCUACUCUAUUAGGUCUCUAAGUUUGGAUAGUGUAUAACUUGCAAAUUAAAAUCAUACUCCUUCCAAAUUUAUUUCUUUAGGCCAAAUAAAAAUAUAUGUGUGGUUCCAGUAAUCCUACCGUCCCUCUUUUCGGCUUAAAAAUAGCCUAACCCUAAAGAUUUAUUAUUUUAUUGUCAUUUUUCAUUAAGCACUGUUUAAGUCAGAAUGUUGCUUCCAAAGACUCAAUGUAAAAAAAAAACAUAAAAUAAAAAAAAAUCCCUACCUACCUACCCUAACUUUUUUUCAGAUGUAACUGGAACCACACAUACUUUUUUAUUUGGCCUUAAAUAUUAUGGAUGAAAUAGCAAGUAAGGGAUGAAAUUAAAUUGGAUACAGGGGCGGAUCCAGCCAUUUUAAAAGGGGGUUCCAACUAUAUGUCCCCAUUCAAAUGCAUUGAUCGUCCAAAAAAAGUUGGGUUCCAACCCCCGGAAACCCCACUCUAGAUCCGCCAGUGGGAUGAAAUGUUGCAAUUUUUUUUUGGUAAAGUAGUGAUUUGGUAUAUAUUCUGUGUAGUUGAAAUUAGUAUGUCAAACUUAAUUAUAGACCUUUUAAAAAUAAAAUUAUUCUUAUUUUGAGUUAUAGCUUUAUAGAUUUUUCUAUAAUGUUGAUCAGAGGCGGAUCCAGCCAUUUUAAAAGGGCCCUGGGGGGGGGGGUGCAUCUAUAUGCUCCCAUUCAAAUGCAUUGCUCGGCAAAAGAAAAGGGGUGGUUCCAACACCCGGACCCCCCCCCCCCUUGUGGGUCUGCCAAUGUUGAUUUGCUCUCUGUCCCAAAGUAGUACACUGGACUGUAAAAGUCUUCUUUUUUUUUUGGAUAGAGCCAGUGCAAGUUUACCUCACUGUUCUAGUGGAACAGUCAGAUUUUGCCAUCACUUGGUGUCUUUUUUUGUUCGUCGUCGUCUGUCUGUUGUUCUCCCCCCAAAACUGCUGAACCAAUUUCUACCGAACUUAAGCUGAAUGAUCCUUCAUGUUAUAUCUAUGGGUAUCUAAAACACAGGUUUUGUUUUGUUUUCUGUUUCGUCAUGCGAUCAUGGCUAAAUAAAAACAUAGGAGGAAAGGUAGUUUUGGCUUUUAUCUCAAAACCCAAAUCAAAGGAUUUAGAGCAAAUCUGACACAGAGUUAAUUGUUCAUUAUAGGUGAAGUUCUAUCAACAAUAAACUUUCAGACAAGUGUAACAACCCAUUGUUGGGUUGCUGCCACUAGAUUGGUAAUUUUAAGGAAACAUUGCAGUUUUUAUACGACUGCAAAAAGUUUUUUGUGAUAGUAUAUUGGUAAAGUGUAGUCGUUGUUCGAAGCCAUUUGGUUUUCGCAUAAUUACUUUAGUAUAAGUUAAUAGAAAUCUAUGAAAUUCAAAUAAAAAAGAAGGUUGGGAUUUAUUUGGGGAGUUUUUGUCCAGAGUUUAGGAAUUAGGCAUUUUUAAGGGACCAAAAGGGUCCAAAAUUAAACUUUGUUUGAUUUCAUCAAAAAAUGAAUAAUUGGGGUUCUUUGAUAUGCCAAAUCUAACUAUGUAUUUAGAUUCUUAAUUUUUUGGUCCUGUUUAAAAUGGGCUACCUUAACAUGCUUAAGGUCCAAAGUGUCCAAAAUUAAACUUAUUUUGAUUUUAACAAUAUUUAAAUUUUGGGUGUUCUUUAAUAUCAUGAAUAAGCUGAAUCUGAAUAUUUACUUAGAUUUUUAUACAACCGCAAAAAUUGACUAUAAAAGGAAGGUUGGGAUUGAUUUUGGGAGUUUUGGCCCCAACAGUUUAGAAAUAAGGGGCCCAAAGGGUCCAAAAUUAAACUUUGUUUGAUUUCAUCAAAAAUUGAAUAAAUGGGGUUCUUUAAAAGCCGAAUCUAACUGUGUAUGUGGAUUCUUAAUUUUUGGUCCCGUUUUCAAAUUGGUCUACAUUAAGGUCCAAAGGGUCCAAAAUUAAACUAAGUUUGAUUUUAACAAAAAUUGAAUCCUUGGGGUUCUUUGAUAUGCUGAAUCUAAAAAUGUACUUAGAUUUUUUAUUAUUGGCCCAGUUUUCAAGUUGGUCCAAAUCAGGGUCCAAAAUUAAACUUUGAUUUCAUCAAAAAUUGAAUAAUUGGAGUUCUUUGAUAUAUAUUUGCCAAAUCUAACUGUGUAUGUAGAUUUUUAAUUUUUGGUCCCGUUUUCAAAUUGGUCUGCAUUAAAGUCCAAAGGGUCCAAAAUUAAACUAAGUUUGAUUUGAACAAAAAAUGAAUUCUUGAGCUUCUUUGAUAUGCUGAAUCUAAACAUGCACUUAGAUUUUUGAUUAUGGGCCCAGUUUUCAAGUUGGUCCAAAUCAGGAUCCAAAACUAUUAUAUUAGGUAUUGUGCAAUAGCAAGAAAUUUUCAAUUGCACAGUAUUCAGCAAUAGCAAGAAAUUUUCAAUUGCACAAUAUUCAGCAAUAGCAAGAAAUCUUCAAUUGCACAGUAUUGUGCAGAAUCAAGAAAUCUUCAAUUGCACAGUAUUGUGCAAUAGCAAGUAUUUUCAAUUGCACAGUAUUGCCCAAUAGCAAGAAAUAUCUAAUUGCACAAUAUUGUGUAAUAGCAAGAAAUAUCUAAUUGCACAAUAGCAAGAAAUUUUCAAUUGGAGUUAUCUUUCUUUGUCCAGAAUAGUAGUUGAAUCAACUUAAAUCAUUGUUUUAUACAAUAUACAAUGUAUAUUCACUUUUACUACCAACUGAUAAAUUAAAACAAUCUUUACCAUUCAGUGAUAACAAGCACUUUUUUAACAUUUAAAUAUUUUAUGAUGUAUUUAAAUGAGUAGUUAUUGUUGCAAACUCCAUUAGUAAUUUGAAUUGAGAUCAGUUUUGGAAUAAGGGAAAGGGGGAUGUGAAAAAAAAUUGGGGGGGGGGGUCAAUAUUUCUCAUUUCAGAUUUCAUAAAUAAAAAGAAAAUUUCUUCAAACUAUUUUUUGAGAGGAUUAAUAUUCAACAGCAUAGUGAAUUGCUCAAAGGCAAAAAAACAAAUUUUAAGUUUAUGAGACCACAUUCAUUCUGUGUCAGAAACCUAUGCCGUGUCAACUAUUUAAUCACAAUCCAAAUUUAGAGCUGAAUCCAGCUUGAAUGUUGUGUCCUUACUUGCCCCAACCGUUCAGGGUUCAACCUCUGCGGUCGUAUAAAGUUGCGUCAUGCGGAGCAUCUGGUUUAUUAUGGGCCCAGUUUUCAAGUUGGUCCAAACAGGGGUUCAAAAUUUUACUUUGUUUGAUUUCAACAAAAAUUUCUUUGAUCAUGUUGAUAUGCUGCAUCUUACCAUGUAUUAAGAUUUCGAAUUUUGGACCAUAUUAGAGGUUAUUUGUCAAUUUAAAAUUUUUAACUACUUGGACCACAUUCAUUCUGUGUCAGAAACCUAUGCUGCGUCAAAUAUUGAAUCACAAUCCAAAUUCAAAAUUCAGAGCUGUAUCAAGCUUGAAUGUUGUGUCCAUACUUGCCCCAACUGUUCAGGGUUCAACCUGUACGGUCGUAUCAAGCGUGAGCCAUGCAUAGCAUUUUUAUUGGUUAUUAUCUUGAAUCUUAUUUCUGAAAAAGAUAUACUGUAAACAGCAAAUAUAAUUUGCAAAGUAAGGUCUACAAAUAUGAUAUUAAUACACCAAAAAUUGUCAAUUGACCCCAUAAGGAGUUAUUGCCUUUUAAAGACAAUUUUUCACAAUUUGUUCAUCUAGUUUGCUGAAUACUCUUAAGAAUCUUCUCCUUUGACAUUGUGGAAUCUAUUACAGCCAAACUUGGACUGAAUGAGUUUCAGAGUAACUAGUAUUAAGUUUGUAUUUUAUUUCCUUUUAGGUCAAGAAACAUAGUCACUUUAUAGUUACAUGGCUAAAAUGGAACAUAGGGGUAAAAUGAUCACAAAUGGAAGAUUGAUGCAAAAAUUUCAGGUGAGCACUUCAGGCUCUUGAGAGCCUCUUGUUUAAUUGCUUCUGUAAGUAAUAUAUAUUAAUUUGAAAUUCUGACGAGUGAGACACAUGCAGAUUAUACUGUAAACAAUAUUUCAGAGUUUAAUGUAGUCAAGCAAACAAAUCAUAGAAGAAUAUGCAAAUCAUGUCUUUGUUGUCCAAUUUAAAAAAUUGAAAAAUUAGUACAAACACAAAGAAAAAGUAUGGGAAUGUUUGUUUUUUAAACUAUUGACCAGGGUGAAAGUCUUUGAAAGUGAUGACUGGCAAACAGUCUGUGAAAUGAUAUAGCACAAAUAUUCCAUUCUUUUAAAAUAUUAUUGUAUAUAAAGAAAAACAUAUACUGAUGUUUAAUAAUAGUUUUUACCCUUUUUAUGUUUAGGACAAGAAAUAUAGAAAAUAAUGAAAAGUAUAAAACAGUUACAACAGAAAUGAGCGGCAAAACAAGAUAAACA
rnacentral:lncRNA from 1 species